rnacentral:tRNA from 1 species
GCCUGCAUAGCUCAGUUGAUAGAGCACAAGUUUUGUAUAUGCGAAAUGUUAUCAAAAGAACUUGGGGUCGGGGGUUUGACUCCCUCUGCAGGCU